rnacentral:rRNA from 1 species
GUGCAGCAGUCGAGAAUCAUCCGCAAUGCGGCGCAAGCGUGACGGUGCGACGCCGCGUGCGGGAGGAAGCCCCUCGGGGUGUAAACCGCUUUUCAGGGGGUAUGAAGCGGCGUUCGGUGAAUAGCCGGAGUCGUUGACGUCAACCCUGGAAUAAGGCCCCUGCUAACUUCGUGCCAGCAGCCGCGGUAAUACGGAGGGGCAAGCGUUGCUCGGAAUCACUGGGCUUAGAGCGGGCGUAGGCGGUCCGGUCAGUCGGAUGUGAAAUACCUC